rnacentral:rRNA from 1 species
AUAGGGGAGCCGGAGGGAAACCGAGUCUUAACCGGGCGUUAAGUUGCAGGGUAUAGACCCGAAACCCGGUGAUCUAGCCAUGGGCAGGUUGAAGGUUGGGUAACACUAACUGGAGGACCGAACCGACUAAUGUUGAAAAAUUAGCGGAUGACCUGUGGCUGGGGGUGAAAGGCCAAUCAAACCGGGAGAUAGCUGGUUCUCCCCGAAAGCUAUUUAGGUAGCGCCUCGUGAAUUCAUCUCCGGGGGUAGAGCACUGUUUCGGCUAGGGGGCCAUCCCGGCUUACCAACCCGAUGCAAACUGCGAAUACCGGAGAAUGUUAUCACGGGAGACACACGGCGGGUGCUAACGUCCGUCGUGAAGAGGGAAACAACCCAGACCGCCAGCUAAGGUCCCAAAGUCAUGGUUAAGUGGGAAACGAUGUGGGAAGGCCCAGACAGCCAGGAUGUUGGCUUAGAAGCAGCCAUCAUUUAAAGANGAAGGCCCAGACAGCCAGGAUGUUGGCUUAGAAGCAGCCAUCAUUUAAAGAAAGCGUAAUAGCUCACUGGUCGAGUCGGCCUGCGCGGAAGAUGUAACGGGGCUAAACCAUGCACCGAAGCUGCGGCAGCGAACGUAUCACCCAAGACAACUUUACGGAGUUGACGAUUGACGGAGCGAAGCGACGUCAAAGCGUUCAUUAAAGUCGAGUUGGCUUAGGGAUACGUUC